rnacentral:rRNA from 1 species
AUGCAGUCGAACGAUGACUAUCUAGCUUGCUAGCUAUGAUUAGUGGCGGACGGGUGAGUAACAUUUAGGAAUCUGCCUAGUAGUGGGGGAUAGCUCGGGGAAACUCGAAUUAAUACCGCAUACGACCUACGGGUGAAAGGGGGCGCAAGCUCUUGCUAUUAGAUGAGCCUAAAUCAGAUUAGCUAGUUGGUGGGGUAAAGGCCUACCAAGGCGACGAUCUGUAACUGGUCUGAGAGGAUGAUCAGUCACACCGGAACUGAGACACGGUCCGGACUCCUACGGGAGGCAGCAGUGGGGAAUAUUGGACAAUGGGGGCAACCCUGAUCCAGCCAUGCCGCGUGUGUGAAGAAGGCCUUUUGGUUGUAAAGCACUUUAAGCAGGGAGGAGAGGCUAAUGGUUAAUACCCAUUAGAUUAGACGUUACCUGCAGAAUAAGCACCGGCUAACUCUGUGCCAGCAGCCGCGGUAAUACAGAGGGUGCGAGCGUUAAUCGGAAUUACUGGGCGUAAAGCGAGUGUAGGUGGCUCAUUAAGUCACAUGUGAAAUCCCCGGGCUUAACCUGGGAACUGCAUGUGAUACUGGUGGUGCUAGAAUAUGUGAGAGGGAAGUAGAAUUCCAGGUGUAGCGGUGAAAUGCGUAGAGAUCUGGAGGAAUACCGAUGGCGAAGGCAGCUUCCUGGCAUAAUAUUGACACUGAGAUUCGAAAGCGUGGGUAGCAAACAGGAUUAGAUACCCUGGUAGUCCACGCCGUAAACGAUGUCUACUAGCCGUUGGGGUCCUUGAGACUUUAGUGGCGCAGUUAACGCGAUAAGUAGACCGCCUGGGGAGUACGGCCGCAAGGUUAAAACUCAAAUGAAUUGACGGGGGCCCGCACAAGCGGUGGAGCAUGUGGUUUAAUUCGAUGCAACGCGAAGAACCUUACCUGGUCUUGACAUAUUGAGAAUCCUGCAGAGAUGCGGGAGUGCCUUCGGGAAUUCACAUACGGGCUGCAUGGCUCGUCAGCUCCUUGUCGUGAGAUGUUGGGUUAAGUCCCGCAACGAGCGCAACCCUUUUCCUUAUUUGCCACCGGUUAAGCCGGAACUUUAAGGAUACUGCCAGUGACAAACUUGGAGGAAGGCGGG